rnacentral:rRNA from 1 species
UACGUAGGGUGCGAGCGUUGUCCGGAAUUAUUGGGCGUAAAGAGCUUGUAGGUGGUUUGUCGCGUCUGCUGUGAAAAUCCGAGGCUCAACCUCGGACUUGCAGUGGGUACGGGCAGACUAGAGUGUGGUAGGGGAGAUCGGAAUUCCUGGUGUAGCGGUGAAAUGCGCAGAUAUCAGGAGGAACACCGGUGGCGAAGGCGGAUCUCUGGGCCUUACCUGACGCUGAGGCGCGAAAGCUAGGGGAGCGAACAGGAUUAGAA